rnacentral:rRNA from 1 species
UACGUAGGGUGCGAGCGUUGUCCGGAAUUAUUGGGCGUAAAGGGCUCGUAGGCGGUUUGUCGCGUCGGGAGUGAAAACCCAGGGCUUAACUCUGGGCUUGCUUUCGAUACGGGCAGACUAGAGGUAUGCAGGGGAGAACGGAAUUCCUGGUGUAGCGGUGAAAUGCGCAGAUAUCAGGAGGAACACCAAUGGCGAAGGCAGCUCGCUGGGACGGUACUGACGCUGAGGCGCGAAAGCGUGGGGAGCAAACAGG